rnacentral:lncRNA from 1 species
GCGGGCGAAAGUAUACGUAGCCGGCCGACAGCUCUUGGUGCCCGAUCGAUCUUUGACAAAUCCAAAAGAGUCCAAAAGGCGUCACCGUCAAGUAUACGUAGCUAGCAUUUGUACGUGGAGAUGCGGCGGCUCGACGAGCACUACACAGAAAAGACACACGAUCGAUCGAAUCGAACAACCACACACAUUCCCCUGUCAAGUCCUGCGUCUGCAUGCGCCGCGGGCAUCGUACGGCGAGGUCAAUUUUAAACGGGGAUCACAGCAUCCAUUCCAUCCUUAAAAAAAAAAAUACCAUGCGCGCGUCACAUUCCGCUCGAUCGAUCGUCCUGCUAGCUCGACUGAUCCGCCGCAGAAUUCUGACGUGACAGGUGUUGGUGAUGUGGGUGAGGCCGUGAGGCGAUGGUGGCUUUGGUUGGUGACGGGAGACGUGGGUAAGGUGUGUGUUCCUUAAUUCCUUUGCAUCGAUCGAUCGCGUCUUCCUACGAAAGGUGCCCC